GAUGAAGAACGUAGCGAAAUGCGAUAAGUAAUGUGAAUUGCAGAAUUCAGUGAAUCAUCGAAUCUUUGAACGCACAUUGCGCCCCUUGGUAUUCCGAGGGGCAUGCCUGUUCGAGCGUCAUUAUAACCCCUCAAGCUCAGCUUGGUGUUGGGGCCUGCUGCACUGGCAGCCCUUAAAAUCAGUGGCGGCGCCAUCUGGCUCUAAGCGUAGUAAUUCUUCUCGCUAUGGAGUCCUGGUGGAUGCUUGCCAUCAACCCCCAAUUUUUCUAUGGUUGACUCGGAUCAGGUAGGGAUACCCGCUGAACUUAAGCAUAUCAAUAAGCGGAGGA
rnacentral:misc_RNA from 1 species